GAUGAAGAACGCAGCGAAAUGCGAUACGUAAUGUGAAUUGCAGAAUUCAGUGAAUCAUCGAGUCUUUGAACGCACAUUGCGCCCCCUGGUAUUCCGGGGGGCAUGCCUGUCCGAGCGUCAUUGCUGCCCUCAAGCACGGCUUGUGUGUUGGGCCUCCGUCCUCCUCCCGGGGGACGGGCCCGAAAGGCAGCGGCGGCACCGCGUCCGGUCCUCGAGCGUAUGGGGCUUCGUCACCCGCUCUUGUAGGCCCGGUCGGCGCUUGCCGACACAUCAAUCUUUUUUCCAGGUUGACCUCGGAUCAGGUAGGGAUACCCGCUGAACUUAAGUAUAUCAAUAAGCGGAGGA
rnacentral:misc_RNA from 1 species